GACGAACGCUGGCGGCGUGCCUAAUACAUGCAAGUCGAACGCUGAAGGAGGAGCUUGCUUCUCUGGCGGAGUUGCGAACGGGUGAGUAACGCGUAGGUAACCUGCCCGGUAGCGGGGGAUAACUAUUGGAAACGAUAGCUAAUACCGCAUAAUAGUAGAUGUUGCAUGACAUUUGCCUAAAAUGUGCAAUUGCAUCACUACCAGAUGGAGCUGCGUUGUUUUAGCUUGUUGGUGGGGUAACGGCUCACCAAGGCGACGAUACAUAGCCGACCUGAGAGGGGGGAUGGCCAACCUGGGACUGGGACACGGCCCAGGCUCCUUCGGGGAGGAGCAAGAGGGAAACUUCGGCAAAGGGCGGAAAGCUGGCCGAGGAACGCCGCGUGAGGUGAGAAGGGUUUCGGGUCGGAAAGGUCGGUUUUAUGGGAAGAAAGAGUGUGAGAGUGGAAAGUUCACGCUGUGACGGUAUCUUACCAGAAAGCAACGGCUAACUACGUG
rnacentral:rRNA from 1 species